AAAAGCAUUAAGAAGUAAAAACAAAGACUGAAUCAACACAUAGUCAGAAUUUUGUGUCCAGGUAGUGUGACAUAUCUUCCUGCAAACUGUUACUUUGUGAGUUAGGGUGUCAGUCUUAUACAAAUUAGGGUUAGAUCUCAUUUCUGAUUAUCAUGAUCUCAUAGCCUGAAUAUGCAUCUGACCUGCAACUGGAAGUAAAGCAACC
rnacentral:lncRNA from 1 species